rnacentral:rRNA from 1 species
CCUACGGGAGGCAGCAGUGGGGAAUAUUGCACAAUGGGGGAAACCCUGCUGCAGCGACGCCGCGUGAGUGAAGCAGUAUUUCUGUAUGUAAAGCUCUAUCAGCAUGGGAGAAAAUGACGGUACCUGAUUAAGAAGCCCCGGCUAACUACGUGCCAGCAGCCGAGGUAAUACGUAGGGGGCAAGCUUUAUCCGGAUUUACUGGGUGUAAAGGGAGCGGAGACGGAGGGACAAGUCUGGAGUGAAAUGCCGCGGCUUAACCCCGGAACUGCAUUGGAAACGGUGCAGCUAGAGUGCAGGAGAGGUAAGUGGAAUUCCUAGUGUAGCGGUGAAAUGCGUAGAUAUUAGGAGGAACACCAGUGGCGAAGGCGGCUUACUGGACUGUAACUGACGUUGAGGCUCGAAAGCGUGGGGAGCAAACAGGAUUAGAUACCCUUGUAGUC